AGUGAACGCUGGCGGUAGGCCUAACACAUGCAAGUCGAACGGCAGCACAGUAAGAGCUUGCUCUUACGGGUGGCGAGUGGCGGACGGGUGAGGAAUGCAUCGGAAUCUACUCUGUCGUGGGGGAUAACGUAGGGAAACUUACGCUAAUACCGCAUACGACCUACGGGUGAAAGCAGGGGAUCUUCGGACCUUGCGCGAUUGAAUGAGCCGAUGCCCGAUUAGCUAGUUGGCGGGGUAAGAGCCCACCAAGGCGACGAUCGGUAGCUGGUCUGAGAGGAUGAUCAGCCACACUGGAACUGAGACACGGUCCAGACUCCUACGGGAGGCAGCAGUGGGGAAUAUUGGACAAUGGGCGCAAGCCUGAUCCAGCCAUACCGCGUGGGUGAAGAAGGCCUUCGGGUUGUAAAGCCCUUUUGUUGGGAAAGAAAAGCAGCCGGUUAAUACCCGGUUGUUCUGACGGUACCCAAAGAAUAAGCACCGGCUAACUUCGUGC
rnacentral:rRNA from 1 species